GUUUUAAGUACGUAUUAAUAAUGAUAAUAUGUAUAAAAGUCUUGACCAAUUACGUGCCAGCAGUCGCGGUAAUACGUAGGAGCCGAGCAUUAUUCAUAUUAAAUAGGUUUAAAGGGUACCCAAACGGUCAAAAUACCUGAAAUAUAGGAGUACUUGACUAGAGUUAUAUGUAAGAAGACCGUACUUGAGGUGGAGAGAUUAUAUUUUAUGAUACCAAAAGGACUGAUAACGGCGAAGGCUGUCUUUUAUGUAAUAACUGACGUUGAAGGACGAAGGCAUAGAUAACUAACAGGAUUCGUUACCCUAGUAGUCUUUGCAGACAAUGAUGAAUGCCAUUAACUAGAUACUAAUUUUAGUUAUAUAAAUGAAAAUGAAAGCAUUUCACCUCAAGAGUAAUGUGGCAACGC
rnacentral:rRNA from 1 species